rnacentral:rRNA from 1 species
GAUGAACGCUGGCGGCGUGCCUAAUACAUGCAAGUCGAGCGAAUGGAUUAAGAGCUUGCUCUUAUGAAGUUAGCGGCGGACGGGUGAGUAACACGUGGGUAACCUGCCCAUAAGACUGGGAUAACUCCGGGAAACCGGGGCUAAUACCGGAUAACAUUUUGAACCGCAUGGUUCGAAAUUGAAAGGCGGCUUCGGCUGUCACUUAUGGAUGGACCCGCGUCGCAUUAGCUAGUUGGUGAGGUAACGGCUCACCAAGGCAACGAUGCGUAGCCGACCUGAGAGGGUGAUCGGCCACACUGGGACUGAGACACGGCCCAGACUCCUACGGGAGGCAGCAGUAGGGAAUCUUCCGCAAUGGACGAAAGUCUGACGGAGCAACGCCGCGUGAGCGAUGAAGGCCUUCGGGUCGUAAAGCUCUGUUGUUAGGGAAGAACAAGUACCGGAGUAACUGCCGGUACCUUGACGGUACCUAACCAGAAAGCCACGGCUAACUACGUGCCAGCCGCCGCCGUAA